rnacentral:rRNA from 1 species
UUUGUGUAUGCAUUACAGCUUGGACUGGCGGCAUCGACUGAAAAAUCAUCCCAACCAUCUUGGAGACAGCCAGGCAGGUGUUGCGAGCUGUGAUGCCUGAGGCACCCGCCGAGAAAAUGGGGUUCGACAUGAUGAUCAAGGAAGCGCAGGAAACAGAGAAACCGAAAUUAUGUUUGCAAGAUGGUUAUCAUAUAUUCUAAUUCAGACACAACCGAUGAUACAACAACGCUCUUCGCCAAAUUCUAAUUCAGUCGAGCGUAUCUUAGCUUGGGACCAUGCCCGUGCAACAGUUUUUGUCAUCUUCAUGCCCCAUAUAAGUUGCUUCUGUCAUGCAUAGAAGACAAAGACGCCACCGACAGCAGCGACACACAUAGUGAGGUCAUUGCCCGACAGGAUUUUUCUUUGAGCUGCCUGGAGACUUGCUUUGAGCUACUAGGAGACAUCCAGUGUUGGUGUAUUCUCCCUUCAUUUCCCUUGUUUUUUCAUUGAAAAUCUGAACAUAUGUAGUUGAUUUCCAGAUUUCGAUCGCCCUACAAUAUUUUUGACUUAGUUAUUUGUACAUAGUACGAGCUUGAAUAUUGAAUAAGCAG